UAAAUGCCCAUCAACUGAGUGGAUAAAGAAAAUGUGGAAUAUAUACACUAUGGAAUACUACUCAGCCAUAAAAAGGAAUAAAAUAAUGGCAUUUGCAGCAACCUGGACGGAUCAGGAGACCAUUAUUCUACGUGAAGUGAAUCAGGAAUGGAAAACAAAACAUUGUAUGUUCUUACUUAUAAGUGGGAGCUAAACUAUAAGGAUGCAAAGGCAUAAGGAGGAUACAAUGGACUUUUGGGACUUGGGGAGAAGGAUGAAAUGGGGCAAGAGA